rnacentral:rRNA from 1 species
UACGAGAGGUCCAAACGUUAUUCGGAAUUACUGGGCUUACAGAGUUCGUAGGCGGCUCUACAAGUGAGGUGUGAAAGCCCUCGGACUCAACCGAGGAACUGCGCUUCAAACUGUAGAACUAGAGGGAGAUAGAGGUGAGGCAGAACUGAUGGUGGAGCGGUGAAAUGCGUUGAUAUCAUCAGGAAUACCGGAGGCGAAGGCGGCGUCACUGGGUCUCUUCUGACGCUGAGGAACGAAAGCUAGGGGAGCAAACGGG